ACGGUAUGGCUGUACCUCCUUUUACCUAAUAUGAAGGGUAAGUCUCGAUCUCGAUUCUGAUUUCUAAACAUUCUUUGCCUAUAUUUUUUGGCAUGCAUAUAUAGAUACAUGACGGACAUGAUCUCUUACGCCGACACCGACGUUGUGAUUGUCGGCGCCGGAUCAGCUGGACUCUCGUGUGCAUACGAGCUGAGCAAGGACCCUGAAGUUCGCGUUGCCAUCAUCGAACAAUCCGUAUCUCCUGGAGGAGGGGCUUGGCUUGGUGGUCAGCUCUUCUCCUCCAUGGUUGUCCGCAAACCGGCACACAAGUUCCUCAACGAAGUUGGUGUGGAGUACGACGAUGCAGGUCCUGAAUCCUCCUACGUGGUCGUCCGUCACGCCGCACUUUUCACCUCCACCAUCCUCUCACGCGUUCUCGCCCGUCCCAACGUGAAGCUCUUCAAUGCCGUUGCGGCGGAGGACCUGAUCGUGAAGGAAGGAAGAGUGGGGGGUGUUGUGACAAACUGGGCGUUGGUUUCCAUGAACCAUGAUACACAGUCAUGCAUGGAUCCUAAUGUCAUGGAGGCGAAGAUCGUGGUGAGCUCAUGCGGUCACGACGGUCCUUUUGGAGCUACCGGAGUGAAGAGGCUCAAGGACAUCGGAAUGAUUGAUACCAUCCCUGGAAUGAAAGCGCUUGACAUGAACACUGCUGAGGACGCCAUCGUUCGUCUUACUAGAGAGGUUGUUCCCGGAAUGAUCGUCACCGGCAUGGAGGUCGCUGAGAUCGACGGCGCACCGAGAAUGGUAAUGUGUGAUUAGUAGUAAUUACUAAUUAGUAGCAAGUGAUAUUUUGGUGGUAAACUUACCGGUGCUUUUAUGAGAGAUAUUGCAGGG
rnacentral:lncRNA from 1 species